rnacentral:rRNA from 1 species
UACGUAGGGUGCGAGCGUUGUCCGGAAUUACUGGGCGUAAAGAGCUCGUAGGUGGUUUGUCGCGUUGUUCGUGAAAACCGGGGGCUUAACCCUCGGCGUGCGGGCGAUACGGGCAGACUUGAGUACUGCAGGGGAGACUGGAAGUUCCUGGUGUAGCGGUGGAAGUGCGCAGAUAUCAGGAGGAACACCGGUGGCGAAGGCGGGUCUCUGGGCCGAUACUGACGCUGAGGAGCGAAAGCGUGGGGAGCGAACAGG